rnacentral:rRNA from 1 species
AAGGGUGGUUAUAGACGAUGACCUUGAUAGGCCACAGGUGUAAGGGCGGCGACGUCCGAGCCGAGUGGUACUAAUAGCCCGGGACUUUCCUCAC